GAUGAAGUAUAUUGGUGGCUCUGAAAGAAUAGGAAGUUGUAUAACAACUAAGAAAAUAUGUGGAGCUAAGGCAAAACCGAAGAUUAUCUCUCAGGCUUUGUAUUACUUUUCCUGGUGGAAUAAUAUUUCCAGUUUGUGCUGGUGUAUUCUUGGUCUCUCUUCCCUGACCCUCUCUCUCUCCCUCCCUCCCUCCCCCUCCGUGGUGGCGGCACAGCAGAGUACAGAAUUGGAGGCUGUCGUGGUUCAGUGGUAGGUUGUGCAAGUACUCAAAUAGUUGCCUUAUUUCUCCUUCUGCUAAUAAAUGUGAUAAUGGACAACCUUGGUACAUAGGGAAAAUGAGAGGCAAAGGCCAGACCCAUAUUAUGCACAUCAUACUUAGAUUUCUGUAAUUCGUCAUGAAUGCUUAUUGUGCAAGGUUUUAGAUUUCUAUAUUUGUUCUUUGACAUAUGGAAGUUACACUUGUGAGUAAUUAGGUUAUAGAACAUUGAUUUGAUUUAUCUUCUGUCGGUAAGCAUUGUCCUGUAACAAACAUUUAGUAAGGGCAUAUAUAAUCGGGGGAUAAGCAAUCUAUGAUGUUAUACCUUACUACUCAGCUAAGUUCUGGAGUUUGAGUUGUUCUUAGUUUGCAAAUUUGUUCUCUCUUACAUUCCCUAAUGUAUGUCUUCUUUAUUUCCUUCGGUCUCUGCAGAAAGGAAACUCAUUCAACUGGAAUUAGUGUGUAGUUUUGAAUUGUCAGUACAUCAAGAUUUAGAUGGCUGGCCCAAGCUUCUCC